UAUGAAUUGCAGAUAUUCGUGAAUCAUCGAAUCUUUGAACGCACAUUGCGCCCUUUGGUAUUCCAAAGGGCAUGCCUGUUUGAGCGUCAUUU
rnacentral:rRNA from 1 species